rnacentral:rRNA from 1 species
CGGAGAGUUUGAUCCUGGCUCAGGACGAACGCUGGCGGCGUGCCUAAUACAUGCAAGUCGAACGAACUCUGGUAUUGAUUGGUGCUUGCAUCAUGAUUUACAUUUGAGUGAGUGGCGAACUGGUGAGUAACACGUGGGAAACCUGCCCAGAAGCGGGGGAUAACACCUGGAAACAGAUGCUAAUACCGCAUAACAACUUGGACCGCAUGGUCCGAGUUUGAAAGAUGGCUUCGGCUAUCACUUUUGGAUGGUCCCGCGGCGUAUUAGCUAGAUGGUGGGGUAACGGCUCACCAUGGCAAUGAUACGUAGCCGACCUGAGAGGGUAAUCGGCCACAUUGGGACUGAGACACGGCCCAAACUCCUACGGGAGGCAGCAGUAGGGAAUCUUCCACAAUGGACGAAAGUCUGAUGGAGCAACGCCGCGUGAGUGAAGAAGGGUUUCGGCUCGUAAAACUCUGUUGUUAAAGAAGAACAUAUCUGAGAGUAACUGUUCAGGUAUUGACGGUAUUUAACCAGAAAGCCACGGCUAACUACGUGCCAGCAGCCGCGGUAAUACGUAGGUGGCAAGCGUUGUCCGGAUUUAUUGGGCGUAAAGCGAGCGCAGGCGGUUUUUUAAGUCUGAUGUGAAAGCCUUCGGCUCAACCGAAGAAGUGCAUCGGAAACUGGGAAACUUGAGUGCAGAAGAGGACAGUGGAACUCCAUGUGUAGCGGUGAAAUGCGUAGAUAUAUGGAAGAACACCAGUGGCGAAGGCGGCUGUCUGGUCUGUAACUGACGCUGAGGCUCGAAAGUAUGGGUAGCAAACAGGAUUAGAUACCCUGGUAGUCCAUACCGUAAACGAUGAAUGCUAAGUGUUGG